rnacentral:lncRNA from 1 species
UUUUCAGUCUUGUAUCAUGGCUAUUUACACAGCAGUCUUCUCUCUCCCUGUAGGGAGUUUCUUGAGAGCAAGAUGGACAUCACAUUCAUUUCUGAAUGCCACCAUACACCCAAGAGUAUGAUUGGCUGGGGGAGACGAGCAGCUCUUAAUCAGUGUGCCAAGACACAACAGUGUAUCUUGAAUCUUCCAGACUCUGAACUCCUUAAAGGCAGAGACUCUUAUUAAUCUUUGUGAUCCCAGCCUCCAGCAAUGCCGUGGCAACCGGCAGAUGCUCAGUGAAUUUCUGCUAACAAACAGAGCUGCUCCAAGACUCAAAGGCAAUAACAGGUAUGAAAAGGCUCUACAAUGUAUAAAGAUAUGAAUAUGAGAGACAACUGAAACCUUGUAAAUAAAU